rnacentral:rRNA from 1 species
UACGUAGGUGACAAGCGUUGUCCGGAUUUACUGGGCGUAAAGAGCGCGCAGGCGGUCGUUCAAGUCGAGUGUGAAAGCCCCCGGCUCAACUGGGGAGGGUCAUUCGAUACUGAUCGACUCGAAGGCAGGAGAGGGUAGUGGAAUUCCCGGUGUAGUGGUGAAAUGCGUAGAUAUCGGGAGGAACACCAGUGGCGAAGACGACUACCUGGCCUGUUCUUGACGCUGAGGCGCGAAAGCCAGGGGAGCAAACGGG